AAGGGAGCGUAGGCCGGAGAUUAAGCGUGUUGUGAAAUGUAGACGCUCAACGUCUGCACUGCAGCGCGAACUGGUUUCCUUGAGUACGCACAAAGUGGGCGGAAUUCGUGGUGUAGCGGUGAAAUGCUUAGAUAUCACGAAGAACUCCGAUUGCGAAGGCAGCUCACUGGAGCGCAACUGACGCUGAAGCUCGAAAGUGCGGGUAUCGAACAGGAUUAGAUACCCUGGUAGUCCGCACGGUAAACGAUGGAUGCCCGCUGUUGGUCUGAAUAGGUCAGCGGCCAAGCGAAAGCAUUAAGCAUCCCACCUGGGGAGUACGCCGGCAACGGUGCAACUCAAAGGAAUUGACGG
rnacentral:rRNA from 1 species